rnacentral:rRNA from 1 species
AACGAACGCUGGCGGCAUGCCUAAUACAUGCAAGUCGAACGCGCCUAGCAAUAGGCGAGUGGCGGACGGGUGAGUAACGCGUGGGAACCUGCCCUUGAGUGCGGGAUAACCGAGGGAAACUUCGGCUAAUACCGCAUGUUCCCGGAGCAAUCCGGGGAAAGAUUUAUCGCUCGAGGAGGGGCCCGCGUCGGAUUAGCUAGUUGGUGGGGUAACGGCCUACCAAGGCGAUGAUCCGUAGCUGGUCUGAGAGGAUGAUCAGCCACACUGGGA